rnacentral:rRNA from 1 species
UGGGGGAUAUUGCACAAUGGAGGGAACUCUGAUGCAGCGACGCCGCGUGAACGAAGAAGGCUUUCGAGUCGUAAAGUUCUUUUAUAUGGGAAGAUAAUGACGGUACCAUAAGAAAAAGCCCAGGCUAACUACGUGCCAGCAGCCGCGGUAAUACGUAGGGGGCUAGCGUUGUCCGGAAUCACUGGGCGUAAAGGGUUCGCAGGCGGAAAUGCAAGUCAGGGGUAAAAGUCAGUAGCUUAACUACUGUAAGCAUUUGAAACUGCAUAGCUUGAGGAGAGUAGAGGUAAUUGGAAUUUUUAGUGUAGCGGUGAAAUGCGUAGAUAUUAAAAAGAAUACCGGUGGCGAAGGCGGCUUACUGGGCGUAUUCUGACGCUGAGGAACGAAAGCGUGGGUAGCAAACAGG